AAGUUUACAAGCUCUCACCAUUCUUCUUCUCAUUUAAGCCAAUAUUUCAUUCAAAGUUCAAAAGGAUUGGAAUUGGAAGAAUGAGCUGGAUGCAUCAAAGGAGGAGAUAGAAAGGAAGGUCGCCUUCAUGUUAGAACUGGCACCUGUUCUAGAGUGUACAAAAUUUCCAGUACUAACUGGCCAGUCCGUUCUAUCCAAUCUGUGACAAGGAUGCAAUUGGUUCUCACUCUACAUUCUAGGAAAUUAAAUUCAGAAUAUGAGGUCAGCCUUUGCUCCAAAUCCAAUACUUUACUCUUAGACUCAUCCUGUCUUAUUAGAGACAACUUGAUUUGCUUCAUUGUUAUCAGGAAAUGAAGCUAGCUCCAAGUAGAAACCCAAUUGAAAUGUCAAUUUGGAUAUAAUGCUAUCUAUGGUCCCCUUGAAGAAGGGUAUGACCACAGCAUCCUUGUGGUACCUAUUAACUAUUGCUAUUAAGAUGUCAGAUCCAUGGUGAUCUGAUCAUCUCUUAUGGUCAAACUCAAACUCUCUAUUUUGCGGUGGUAUUUUCAUAAUUUCUUCAUAUGUUAUGGUGUUUCAAAUAAUUUUUGCACCUUUACUUGGCUAGGACAUUUAGUGAAGCAUCAAAGGGAUAUGGAUUGUGCCUUGGAACCAUGAAAGAUUCCACUAAGGCUCUGAUUCUGUCAUAUUUAGAUCUCUCCCUCUUCGACUAUGACAUAUCAGAAACCACUGAAGAAUGGAAAAAAACACAUUACACGGGGAUAAAAUCAUGUGCAGGUGCAGCUACAUCUUGAACUAGGUCCCUUAAUAACUGCAAAUCACUUCCAAUCUUCCUUUCACAUUAAAUAAGAGAUUGAGAUUAACCAGUCAUUUGGUUGCAACCAUGAACAUGGACACAGUUCCCUCCCAUGAUGCCGCUCUUGUCCCGUCAACUGCCAGACAAAUGAGCUUCCACAAUUUGUCAGAAAACAACAUCAUGUAGAAAGGAUUGUCCCUUGUCUUCACCAAAAAACAAAACCUAUAGCUAUAUAUCCUAUGAUUUUAAUGUGACUCCAUGACUAAUGAAUACAUGUCAUAGGCAAUGGGGAAAUGUUCAAAUUGUGCAUGAUAAAGUUUUGGCGACAUGGUUGUCCAAGGUAUAAUUGUGAUGAUGUAAUACUUCUAGAAUACCUUUCUUUGUUGUUUAACAUCUUUGCAAAUCCAGUUAAUAACAAUAUGUAUCCUGAAUAUAUAUAUAUAUAUAUAUAUAGGUAUAUAUGUCUUAGAUCUGUAAUAUGCACAUUGAAUAGGAUUUAAAUGAGUAAUUCCAUUAAUUCAGUUGAUAACUCCCCCCAAAACUCUUAGAACCACAAAAAAUUAAUUUCUAUGAAUUGUAAGAAAUGAUGAAAAGGAACUUAACAUUUGAUAGCUUGGAAAGAAUUUUCUCUGGUGAACCGUUUGUUAUUAUCGGAGAGAAAAAAAAUAUUUUUUUGAUGGAUUGGAUUGGCUAUCCUGGAAGUCUGUAGGGCAAUGAGAAUCUAAAUUAAUGCAUGUCUGGUAUAUGUGAGUGCAUCUGCACAUGGAAUAGUCGGGUUGUACGAACAAUGUUUCAAGAUCCCCUCCUAACAUCACCACAUGCAUAGCUAGCUAGGCUACUAUUCUGCCCCUAGUUGGAAGACUUAUGCACGACCAGCCUUAUGCCAAUCGACAGGUAGAAUAAUAAGCUGAUAGAAUCUCUGGAACCAUCCUCAGCAUUAGAAGAUAAGUCAUGACUGCUUUUAAUUUGAACCUAUGUCAUGCUGAGCGAGUAGCAUUUCUUUUUUUUGAAAAUCACAUUGUCUGAUAACAUUCUGUUUUCUUGCUCAUAGUUAUGUGAAAUUUGUUAUUCUUCAUCACUAACUCUUCAGCAAAGUUGCUAUCAAAGUUAACAUUUUGAGAAGAUUUGACACACACUAGGUUCUUUAAUCAACUCCAAUGUUCGGGUUGCCAAUAUUGAUGUUUGAAGGCCUAAUUAUAGCCUGCCACAUUUAUUUUUUCUGGUUGUGGAUUGAUGUUUUUAGCCUAAUUAAUAAAUCAUGGUCCAAGACACAAGUCUAGGUGCAUGUUUGAGGAAGCACUUUGUCUCUAAGCCUUUUCUAAUUUUGGAAUUUAACUAUUUUUACAAAGAUGUGAAGAGAAUUUAUUAGUAGAAAAUCUCAUGAUAAUAGGCUUAAACCUUGAAGAAUUUCUUAGGUAUAAAAAGUUUUUCAACAAAUCAUACUGUAAACCAAGUAUAUUCUAAUCACCUUGGACACUUUAAAUUGCGUAGGCUACUCCAUAGAUAAGAAAAGAUCCGCAUAACAUGCUAACUAUAGAAAGAAAGAGAUAAGAGAUGUGAUUUAUGGUGACCAAAAAAAAUGGGAUGUGUGCUAUCGAAGUGUAGCUUAUGUGCAUACUUAAGGAGUAGCAAGCUUUUGAUCGAUGACAAAGACUUUGUUUUGAUGUCAUAUUUACUUAUAGCCAAGAACAAUUAUAUAAUUAUUCUUGAUUCUUUCAAGACUUAUUGAUACUAAUUAAUGACUCCGAUAAUGUUUCCGACGAAGUUUAGUUUCUUUUUCUUUUUCUUUUUUUAUCUUUUUUGCAAAGGAAAAAGAAAAGGAAAAGAAAGGAUAAAGAAACUGAAGCAAAGAAAAGGAGUAUUAAUUCUCAAGCUUUUUAAGGCAAGGAAGCCUAAGCUAGCUGUUGUAACUUGUAUAUAUAUGGUUUAGCUUGCAACACAAAUUUUAACUGUUAGGCCCCUCAAUUGGCAAUUGAGCAUGUUUUCAGAUAUAUAGCCCUGUAAUUUGUAAUCUCUUCAUCGUUUCAGGAGCAUCAUAAACAAGAAAUCAUCUCUAUCAGAUAGUGAUUUUUCAUUAAUUCAUAUAUAUAUAUAUAUAUAUACAUACACACACACACACACACACACACACACAUACAUACAUAUAUUCCUUGUUGUUCAUGCUGUUGCAUGUUAUGAGGGCCCAUUUUGCAAUAAAUAUGCAUUCCAUGCUGAUUAUUACUAGGGGAUUUGUAUUGUUUCUGGAAAACUAUAUUCAAAAGAUAGAAAACAUGCUAUCCAAGUUGCAGAUCAGAACACUCACACAACCUCCCCCUUCUUUCUAUCAUAUAUACAGCAUAAUUUGGAAAGCAUCACAACAUGGCUAGGGUUUUAGUUAAACUUCCAAACUAUCAACAGAGGAAACACAAUUGACUCCAAUGACCAAUCAAAUACAUAUAUAUAUAAAAAAAUGCAAUAUGACUAAAACAAAUCUAGGUCCUAUUGUACAAUAUCUUUAGUUAACAUAAAGUGUUUAAAGACACAUUUUCUUCUCACAAUUUAUGUGGAUCAAUAGGCUAUGCCUUUUUUACUUCAAAGACUUUGGAUACCUUUUCCUCAUUUUUACGGUUUAGUAGUUUUUCAUCUUAAUCCUCUUGUACAUUGUUUGGUCGCAAUGGACUGCUUGCUGUCCGUGUGGUUUGAUUAAUUUGUGGUCGAUACAGUGCUGCCAUCUUUUUGUAGAGGUCCAUAUCCAUGGACUGCAGCCAAAAAAUCAGUAUUAAUGUAUAUCAAGCAAUGUUUUGUAUCAGAAAGAUGGAGAAAAAUAAUGCCAUCACUGAGGAAUAUGCCAUUAAUUGGUUUGCUGUAAAAGUUAUAAUUUUUGGUUGAAAACUAAAAAUGAUAUUUGAUUGUUUUGAUUAGGAAAACUCAAUGUAGAAAUUAUCAAACAUUGUUGGUUUUGGUGAGAAACCUUAAGGUAGAAACCAUUUUUGCUUGAAUCAAUUUUCAGUGUAGUUGCUUGACUUGCUUCCAAUGGAUCAUUAAUGUGAAUUUGACAGACAUACUUGAGCUAGGAAAGCACAAUACGGAUCAGGCAAAGGGACUGAAGCAUUGGAGCCAGCAUUUGAAUUCAGUUGAGCUGCCGCAUGUGUUGGAAUCGUAGGCGCUGCCAC
rnacentral:lncRNA from 1 species